rnacentral:rRNA from 1 species
GUGGGGAAUAUUGGACAAUGGGCGAAAGCCUGAUCCAGCCAUGCCGCGUGAGUGAUGAAGGCCUUAGGGUUGUAAAGCUCUUUUAGUGGGGAAGAUAAUGACGGUACCCACAGAAAAAGCCCCGGCUAACUUCGUGCCAGCAGCCGCGGUAAUACGAAGGGGGCUAGCGUUGUUCGGAUUUACUGGGUGUAAAGCGCACGUAGGCGGAUCGUUAAGUCGGGGGUGAAAUCCUGGAGCUCAACUCCAGAACUGCCUUCGAUACUGGCAAUCUCGAGUCCGGAAGAGGUGAGUGGAACUCCUAGUGUAGAGGUGGAAUUCGUAGAUAUUAGGAAGAACACCAGUGGCGAAGGCGGCUCACUGGUCCGGUACUGACGCUGAUGCGCGAAAGCGUGGGUAGCAAA